rnacentral:rRNA from 1 species
GGGGUAACAGGGAGCUUGCUCUGCUGACGACCGGCGCACGGGUGCGUAACGCGUAUGCAACCUACCUUCUACAGGGGGAUAGUCAAUAGAAAUGUUGAAUAAUACCCCAUACGAUCUUUGAGUGGCAUUACUCAAAGAGGAAAGCUUCGGCGGUAGAAGAUGGGCAUGCGUCCUAUUAGUUAGUUGGUGAGGUAACGGCUCACCAAGACUACGAUAGGUAGGGGCCCUGAGAGGGGGAUCCCCCACACUGGUACUGAGACACGGACCAGACUCCUACGGGAGGCAGCAGUGAGGAAUAUUGGACAAUGGAGGCAACUCUGAUCCAGCCAUGCCGCGUGCAGGAAGACUGCCCUAUGGGUUGUAAACUGCUUUUAUACAGGAAGAAACCUACUUACGUGUAAGUAGCUGACGGUACUGUAAGAAUAAGGAUCGGCUAA